GCUUAUGUGGCUUAGUCGGUGAAGCACUCGUCUAGCGUACAAGAGUCGUGAGCUCAAAUCUUACCUUGGCUG
rnacentral:tRNA from 1 species